rnacentral:rRNA from 1 species
UACGUAGGGUGCAAGCGUGUCCGGAAUUAUUGGGCGUAAAGAGCUCGUAGGCGGUUUGUCGCGUCUGCUGUGAAAACCCGAGGCUCAACCUCGGGCCUGCAGUGGGUACGGGCAGACUAGAGUGCGGUAGGGGAGAUUGGAAUUCCUGGUGUAGCGGUGGAAUGCGCAGAUAUCAGGAAGAACACCCGUGGCGAAGGCGGCUCUCUGGAACGCAACUGCGCUGAGACGCGAAAGCGUGGGGAGCAAACAGG